GUAAUUUAUACUUAAAUUUAAUUAACCCCCCUAUUAUGAAUUUUCAUACGAUAGACGAUAAGCGCUUGCAAGCGUAUCGUAUAAAAUGAGUUUUCGUAUUAUGGUUUCCACACGCCCGAUAGAUUGUGAAUGACAGUGGUAUUUGUUUGCCAUUUAUUGUGAAUUUAAAUGAAACAGCUGUUUUUUUCUAGCUAAAAUAUUUUCAAAGCAAACAUUUUGUACCUUAAAAGUCGCGAAAACUUCCAUAAACCAUACAAAAUUGAGAAAAAACAUGUUUCCUUUAACCUCAAUUACGUUUUACAUAAAUUCAAAUGAAUAAAUUGUUGAAACUCGCAUAGAGGCUACAGUACGCAAUUGAGAGAUGCUUCCAAUCCUCUGGAGGUGAAGUCGAUAAUGUGAGUAACUGGA